CAGUAGCCGCGGUAAUACGAAGGGGACUAGCGUUGUUCGGAAUUACUGGGCGUAAAGCGCACGUAGGCGGAUUUUUAAGUCAGGGGUGAAAUCCCCGGGCUCAACCUGGGAAUGGCAAUGGAUACUGGCAAGCUAGAGUGUGUCAGAGGAUGGUGGAAUUCCCGGUGUAGCGGUGAAAUGCGUAGAGAUCGGGAGGAACAUCAGUGGCGAAGGCGGCCAUCUGGGACAACACUGACGCUGAGGCACGAAAGCGUGGGGAGCAAGCAGGAUUAGAUAUCCCGGUAGUCCCUGUCUCUUAUAA
rnacentral:rRNA from 1 species